rnacentral:rRNA from 1 species
GUCCACGCCCUAAACGAUGUCGACUGGUUGUUGGGGUUUGACACUCUCAGUAACGAAGCUAACGCGUGAAGUCGACCGCCUGGGGAGUACGGCCGCAAGGUUAAACUCAAAGGAAUUGACGGGACCCGCACAAGCGGUGGAUUAUGUGGAUUAAUUCGAUGCAACGCGAAAACCUUACCUACCCUUGACAUGUCCCGAAGCCCGGUGAGAGCCGGGGGUGCCCGAAAGGGAACGGGAACACAGGUGCUGCAUGGCUGUCGU